UGUGGAAUCUAGGAGAGUCUUGUUUUGG
rnacentral:piRNA from 1 species